rnacentral:rRNA from 1 species
UACAGAGGGGGCAAGCGUUGUUCGGAAUUACUGGGCGUAAAGGGCGCGUAGGCGGCCUGCUAAGUCGAACGUGAAAUCCCCGGGCUCAACCCGGGAACUGCGUCCGAUACUGGUUGGCUUGAAUCCGGGAGAGGGAUGCGGAAUUCCAGGUGUAGCGGUGAAAUGCGUAGAUAUCUGGAGGAACACCGAUGGCGAAGGCAAUCCCCUGGGCCUGCACUGACGCUCAUGCACGAAAGCGUGGGGAGCAAAAAGG